rnacentral:lncRNA from 1 species
GAAGAGUACACAAUUUUAAUAUCUCUUAAUAAAUAUUCAGGUGGGAUCCUCUCUCCUAGGUGAUUGUCAAACAAAAAAGAACAAUAUCGCUUUUAUCAAACAUAACCCAAGAGGAUAAGUAUAAAGUGUAUCACCAUCCGUCACAUACUCAAAUAUAAGAGUGUGGCUAGAUCUCAGUCGACCGAGAGUUAACCAAGUCCCUGUUAAGUAACAUAACAUGCAAGAGAGAGAAAGAAAAAACCGAAAAGAUCAUACGGAUAUAGCAUCGACUGAGACUCGACCGAGACAUAGCAAGAGUGCAAAUAUAAUCCCACAUAUAUUCUAUUAUCACACGAGAAACCAACUCAUGUCUCUAGUGCUAGCAGGAGUCGUGCAUUUCCUUCCCUGGUAGGCAGUGGCGGAGCUAUUUGGAGGCCAACCUGGGCCAUGGCCCCCCCAGCUCAUAGGAAAACAUGCAAAUAUGCCUUAAUAUUUAGUCUAAUUUUCGACUAAAUUCAGCCUAACGUAAUCAUGUUUGCCCCCCUUCAGCCCAUGCCUCCCCAUAAUUUCAUCUCAAGCUCCGCCACUGCUGGUAGGAAUCUAAUCUUAGCAUAACCACAAGUCAUCGAUCACCUCCUUGCUCUCCAUGGCUUGGUAGUAGUACACCGUGGCCGCCGCCAAGGAGAAUAGCUG